rnacentral:rRNA from 1 species
AUGAUAUGCUUCAACUGUGGGGUCCCUGGUCAUUAUCUGGGGAACUGUGUGAAAACCAAAGCAUGUUUUAUUUGCCAAUUGAAUCACAAUGUCAACAACUUUGCUGCUUGGACCAAGAUUCAACCAUCUGCUACUUUCUUUGGAAGUGGUGCUAGUGGGUUAGGUUUCUACCAUGUAGAGGUCCCUGCUAUUUCUGAGACUAAGUGGCUUAACUGCCAGAACUGUGCUGUGGUGAAUAUAUUGAAAGGUGAUGUGCUUAAAUCCGAGCUUUUUGGCUUGCUAUCUGCUGUUUUCUGCAAGACCAGACAAUGGCCUUGUCAAAUUAGGGAGUUAUCCAGUAAAACCUUUUUGGUUAGAUUUCCACCAUGGAAGAAUGCUGAAGAUCUAAUAGAAUUUCCUGCUUUUGACCUACCCAAGGAAGGAGUUAAUGUGAAUGUGACUGAGUGGAAAGGUGCUUGUGACCCCUUUGGAGUACUUGUGGAAGCAUGAGUUUUGAUUGAAGGUAUCCCACCAAAAUGGUGUACUUGUAAAGUAUUCUGUCAAUUUGCCUCUUUGUUUGGUGUUCUCACUGAUGUGGACUGGAAUGGUAUGUUCAGGACCUUCUUUGAGAAUGUGAGGAUAAAAAUUACUUGCAGAGACCCAUCUAAAAUCCCUUUUGAAAGGCUGAUUGAGAUGAAAAAGAAAUUGUUCCUACUUGGCUUUACUGUGGAGGGAUAUGAAUAG